rnacentral:rRNA from 1 species
AUACGUAGGGGGCGAGCGUUGUCCGGAAUGAUUGGGCGUAAAGGGCGCGUAGGCGGCCCGGUAAGUCUGGAGUGAAAGCCCUGUUUUUAAGAUGGGAAUUGCUUUGGAUACUGUCGGGCUUGAGUGCAGGAGAGGUAAGUGGAAUUCCCAGUGUAGCGGUGAAAUGCGUAGAGAUUGGGAGGAACACCAGUGGCGAAGGCGACUUACUGGACUGUAACUGACGCUGAGGCGCGAAAGUGUGGGGAGCAAACAGGAUUAGAUACCCUGGUAGUCCACACUGUAAACGAUGAAUGCUAGGUGUAGGGGGUAUCGACCCCUUCUGUGCCGCAGUCAACACAAUAAGCAUUCCGCCUGGGGAGUACGGCCGCAAGGUUGAAACUCAAAUGAAUUGGCGGGG